CAGAUGCUUUACUGAAAUGUAAGUGUAUGAGUCGGGCGCUGUGCGCUGCGCUUGAUGGUACAGUUGGAGUAUAUAAUGGUCAUACCUGCGACACUCUUUGUCCAGACAUAUGUUGCUGUUACAGUAUACAAUAAGAAUAAGUGUUUAAAUGGCAGACUGGAGUACUACAUGCAUGUAUUUCAAUUGCUCUUGUCAUUUAAAAUUAAUGUAAAUUGAAGUAGCAAAUAAAUAUGUCACUUCC